UUGAAAACAAAACAUUUAAAUGUCUUUAUUUUGUUUUGCAGCUGUGAAAACAGACAUCUGAGUUCUGCAAUCAUGACCAAGCUGAUGAGUCUCACUGUUCUUGCAGUUUUGCUGCUUGCCUGUAUGAAACCGAGUAUCAGAAGU